GAUGAACGCUAGCUGCAGGCUUAACACAUGCAAGUCGAGCGGAAACGCCAUUGAAGCUUGCUUCGAUGUUCGUCAACCGGCGCACGGGUGAGUAACCCGUAUCCAACCUGCCUCUAACCAAGGGUUAACCCGUCGAAAGUCGGCCUAAUACCUUAUGCAGUCCUCGGAAGUCGUCUGAUGACGACGAAAGAUUUCAUCGGUGAGUGAUGGGGCUGCGUCUGAUUAGCUUGUUGGCGGGGUAACGGCCGACCAAGGCCACGAUCAGUAGGGCUGCUGAGAGGAAGGUCCCCCAUAUUGGAACAGAGACACGGUCCAAACUCCUACGGGAGGGAGCAGUGAGGAAUAGGGGGCAAUGGGCGGGAGCCUGAAACAGCCAAGUAGAGUGCAGGAUGACGGCGCUAUGGGUGGUAAACUGCUUUUAGGCGGGGAAAAAGUGAGGGACGUGGCCGUUAUUGCAGGUACCGGAUGAAUAAGGACCGGCUAAUUCCGUG
rnacentral:rRNA from 1 species